AACGAACGCUGGCGGCAUGCUUAACACAUGCAAGUCGAACGAUCCCUUCGGGGAUAGUGGCGAACGGGUGAGUAACGCGUGGGGACCUGCCCUGGAGUGGGGGAUAACCGCUGGAAACGG
rnacentral:rRNA from 1 species